rnacentral:rRNA from 1 species
CAGCAGCCGCGGUAAUACGUAAGGAGCGAGCGUUGUCCGGAUUCACUGGGCGUAAAGCGCUCGUAGGCGGCUCCUUAAGUCUCACGUGAAAGCCCCCGGCUCAACCGGGGAGGGUCGUGGGAAACUGGGGAGCUUGAGGGCAGGAGAGGAGAGUGGAAUUCCCGGCGUAGCGGUGAAAUGCGUAGAUAUCGGGAGGAACACCAGUGGCGAAGGCGGCUCUCUGGUCUGUCCCUGACGCUGAGGAGCGAAAGCCAGGGGAGCAAACCGGAUUAGAUACCCGGGUAGUCCUGGCUGUAAACGAUGGGUACUAGGUGUGGGAGGUUCGACCCCUUCCGUGCCGCAGCUAACGCAUUAAGUACCCCGCCUGGGGAGUACGGCCGCAAGGUUGAAACUUAAAGGAAUUGGCGGG